rnacentral:rRNA from 1 species
UACGUAGGGGGCUAGCGUUGUCCGGAAUCAUUGGGCGUAAAGAGCGUGUAGGCGGUCCGGUAAGUCCGCUGUGAAAGUCGGGGGCUCAACCCUCGAAUGCCGGUGGAUACUGUCGGAGCUAGAGUGCGGAAGAGGCGAGUGGAAUUCCUGGUGUAGCGGUGAAAUGCGCAGAUAUCAGGAGGAACACCGAUGGCGAAGGCAGCUCACUGGGACGGUACUGACGCUGGAGACGCGAAAGCGUGGGGAGCAAACAGG